UGGCGGCAGGCCUAACACAUGCAAGUCGAGCGGUAGAGAGAAGCUUGCUUCUCUUGAGAGCGGCGGACGGGUGAGUAAUGCCUAGGAAUCUGCCUGGUAGUGGGGGAUAACGUUCGGAAACGGGCGCUAAUACCGCAUACGUCCUACGGGAGAAAGCAGGGGACCUUCGGGCCUUGCGCUAUCAGAUGAGCCUAGGUCGGAUUAGCUAGUUGGUGAGGUUAUGGCUCACCAAGGCGACGAUCCGUAACUGGUCUGAGAGGAUGAUCAGUCACACUGGAACUGAGACACGGUCCAGACUCCUACGGGAGGCAGCAGUGGGGAAUAUUGGACAAUGGGCGAAAGCCUGAUCCAGCCAUGCCGCGUGUGUGAAGAAGGUCUUCGGAUUGUAAAGCACUUUAAGUUGGGAGGAAGGGCAGUUACCUAAUACGUGAUUGUUUUGACGUUACCGACAGAAUAAGCACCGGCUAACUCUGUG
rnacentral:rRNA from 1 species